GACGAACGCUGGCGGCGUGCUUAACACAUGCAAGUCGAACGGUGAAGCGCCUUCCUUUUUGGUUGGUGUGGAUGAGUGGCGAACGGGUGAGUAACACGUGCGUAACCUGCCCCCUUCUUCUGGAUAACCGCAUGAAAGUGUGGCUAAUACGGGAUAUUCUGGUGCUGUCGCAUGAUGGGUCUGGGACAGCUGUUGUUUCUGUGGGGGCUGGUCUCGCGGCCUAUCAGCUUGUUGGUGGUGUGAUGGGCUACGAAGGCGGUGACGGGUAGCCGGCCUGGGAGGGUGGACGGUCAGACAGGGAGAGAGGCACGGCCCAGACUGCUACGGGGGGCAGCAGUGGAGAAGAUGGCACAAUGGGGGAUAGUCUGAUGCAGCGGCGCCGCGUGAGGGAUGGCGCCGUGCGCGUGGUGACCGUCUUUCGCUAGUGAAGCAGGCCUGCCUGGGAUGUGGGUGGGUUGACGGUAGCUGGAAAAGAAGCGCCGGCUAACUACGUG
rnacentral:rRNA from 1 species